ensembl:lncRNA
GUGGAAGGGCAUGCAUCUCACAAUAAACUUGUGUAUACAAGUGUGAAUUUUGUGGUUGAGACAAUGUAUAAUUAUAACUACGCUUUAGAGGUGUUAUGGAUAUUUUUAUCAGCAGGUGCAUGCUUUACUAAUAGAUCCUAAGAAUUCUUCUAUUUGUACUUUUGACACUCUGUAUUAAGUGUGAUAAACGUCAUGCACUCUGUCUGUGUAUGAAUAUAGGAGACUACCAAAUAAGGAGAGAUGCAAACUUUAUGAAAGGCUAUAAAAGGCCAAGGAGCGCUUUGUGCGGGGCCGCACUCCGAUGGUGAAGACUUACUCGCUGUUAUUUUCAUUUUUUAUUACUUAUGAGUUAUUGUCUACUAAUAAAGCGAAGCCAUUACAAAUGGUGAUGCGUUAAAUGUUUAUUAAAAUAAAAGACUCUAAGUAAUUUAUUUACGAGCAACAUAUUAUUCUGGAACUGAAUAUUCCUUUCGAGCCUCAAGAAGUCUGAACUCAGCUGAGCAGAUUUGGGUGCGAUCUCAGAGAUUCCUGCAUCUAUACAUCACCAUCAGAAGACAAAAUUCAUACAAGCACAAGACUGACUGCAGAGGAACCAGUGUCCAGCGAGGAGCAUCUCAGCUGAGCACAAAACGAAAAAGAAAAACCAUCAAGAUCAUUUAAAGCACUUACAGUAGAACAAGAAGAAAUGAACAUACAAAUACCAACACCAGCAGUAGCAGUGACUGGGGUCUCCAUUCAGCCUGCUGUAUCGGUGGUUCAGCCCGCUGUAACGUAUGUUCAGCCCGCUGUACCAUUGAUUCAGCCCACUGUAACGGUUGUUCAGCCCGCUGCACCAUUGGUUCAGCCUGUUGUGGUCAUGAGUCAAAGGCCAGUUGCUGCGGUACCAGAUUACUUGGGCUACUCCAUCUUUACCAUGCUGUGCUGCUGUUUACCUCUGGGCAUCGUUGCUAUCAUCUACUCAUGCAACACUCGAGAUGCUAACUUGGCUGGACAGCGAGAGUUAGCGAUGAGCAGGUCCAGAGUGGUGUUUAUCCUGAACAAUGUGGCUCUCGGUAUUGGCCUCACGAUCACUGCAGUGAUCAUUAUCAUCAUAUUUACAGUGGCGAUAAGGCAUUAACCAUGUCUUGAAUGUUGGGGGCGACCAACUUGUGUUGUGCACACACAGAAACAUUCAGCAGCGCAGAAACUUGUUGUCAACACUGCCCCAUGAAUAUAAUUAAUAAAAUAGCUUUGAUACUGAAUCGCUAUUUUAUA